UGUUUAUUUUACCUUGUUGCUUCGGCGGGCCCGCNCNANANGGCGCCGGGGGGCUUACGCCCCCGGGCCCGCGCCCGCCGAAGACACCCUCGAACUCUGUCUGAAGAUUGUAGUCUGAGUGAAAAUAUAAAUUAUUCAAAACUUUCAACAACGGAUCUCUUGGUUCCGGCAUCGAUGAAGAACGCAGCGAAAUGCGAUACGUAAUGUGAAUUGCAAAUUCAGUGAAUCAUCGAGUCUUUGAACGCACAUUGCGCCCCCUGGUAUUCCGGGGGGCAUGCCUGUCCGAGCGUCAUUGCUGCCCUCAAGCACGGCUUGUGUGUUGGGCCCCGUCCUCCGAUCCCGGGGGACGGGCCCGAAAGGCAGCGGCGGCACCGCGUCCGGUCCUCGAGCGUAUGGGGCUUUGUCACCCGCUCUGUAGGCCCGGCCGGCGCUUGCCGAUCAACCCAAAUUUUUAUCCAGGUUGACCUCGGAUCAGGUAGGGAUACCCGCUGAACUUAAGCAUAUCAAUAA
rnacentral:rRNA from 1 species